UCAUAAAAGCGAUAAAGAUCGUUUUGGGCUUAAGAAACGUUCGGGUUUAAUUGGGCCCAUUGGACCUAAACCCAUUGGGCUUUUAUUCAAGCAUUGGAUGACUUGAAAUAAUAAAAGCCCAAAGCCCAAACAAACAACAAAGAGGCCGGCCACUUUAAGGUGGAAAGGGUGAGAUAUUUAGUCAAGUGUUGACUAGGUUUCUUUUGUCUAUAUAAGGAACUUUAUAAGAUAUUGUUCAUUAGGGUUUUUGUGUGGUUAAAACAACAAAGAGGCAAAAGAAUAUCUCUCUAAAAUCCCUACAAAGGCCGGCCACCAAAGAGGGUGAUUUAGCUAACAAUCUUUCACCCUUUUGGUUAUUCCUUCAUCCUUCUCACUACACUAGUGGGUGAGGAUCUUUAGAGGUUUCCUACUUUGGGAACUUGAAGAGAACCUAGGAGCACUCAUUGUAACAAAGUGGAGGAGGUAAGGAAGGAAGCUAGGCUCAAGGAGUUCAAGGAACAAAGGGCUUGGAGGUGGUCCAUCCUUGGUCUCAAGUCUAGAUCAAGAGGUAUAAGACUAAACCUUCACUUUGUUUUUUUUCUCUAAAAUUUUAUUUGAUGCAUUAUAUAUAAACCUAUGAACCUUAAAGGGGAUUUGCAUGACUAUAGCUUUGAUAAUAUGUUAUAAAUGCUUCCGCUGCUUUCGUAUAUCUAAUGUGUCCUUUUGGAUAUGCAUGAUAGUCAUUUAGAAAUCCCGUACAUGAAUCUCAUAGAUUUCCCUUCAAGUGGUAUCAGAGCCAAAGGUUUAUGUAUAAUGUGUCCUUUUGGAUUUAUGCAUAUGGGUAUUAAUGUUAUGUAUGACAUAUUAUUGUUUCAUUCAAAGUAUGUUUAUCUUUUGUUUUUCAAUAGUUGAAAAAUGUUAGUCAAAAGUUGAGAAAGAUAUGUAUGCAAAAGUGUUUUGUAUGCAUGAAUGAAAAAUGAGUUUAGAACUAGUAUGACAUAUUAUUUCUUCAUUUAAAAGUAUGUUUAUCUUUUGUUUUUCAAUGGUUGAAAAAUAUAAAUCAAGAGUUGAAAAGAUAUGCAUGUAAAAGUUGUUUUGUAUGCAUGAAUGAAGAAUAAGUCAUGAACAAAAUUUGGGGUUUUUUGUUCUUUGUGGUUGGCACGGUUUUGGGGGUGGUUUUGGGUUGUGUUUGUGUUUUAUUGUAAACCACUCACACAUCCUUUUAAAGCUUGAAAGAAGUGUUUUUGUCACUUUUGUUUUUGGGUUUGAAAAAUCACCAAGAAUACAAAAAUCUUGAAAAAGUGUUCAUGGUUUUGUUCUUGGUGUUCAUAGUUUGGUUUUUGGUGAAAAUGGUUUUAAUUAAUUUUCUUGUAUUAUUUUGUGGUUUUGGAUGAUGUUCUUACCAUCCAUAACCAUAUAAUAAGUUUAUUAAACCCUAGACUUGACUAGGAGAUUUCCAUCAAACCUUUUCACCUAAGUUUUAAUGCCAAAACCAAGUGACAAGCAAAAUUUUGUUUUUUUCUACUUUGCAUUGAAUUUAUGCAUGUGGGUGAGACUUCCCAUUCCCCCAUUAAGUGGCCGGCCUCCCCUAGUGGAUUUAUCCACUUGUGGGGCUUUUUUUUUUGUAAUCUUGAAAAAGAUAUUUUAUACUUUUGAGUAUUUACGGUUUGACCCUUAACUUUUUCAUAUUUGCAUUUAAGCCCCUACUAACUAGAAAGUUAAAAUAUUUGAUUUUAAUUUUGUUAGUUGUUUAAACUCAUAAUACUAUUAUGCCCAUAUGCACUAAAUCUAAAUGUUUAUGUUGCAUUCCAUUUAAUUAUUUAAAUGUGUUUAAGUAGUUAUGAAAUGGAUGACUUUGGACUUAUGCCUUAAACGAUAAUUGAGCUAUGAGAUAAGGCGCUAAAAUCAAAUUGUUUGAACCUUGGGAAUGUGUUUUAAUUACUGUUUAAUUGGACCUUGUCACAUUUGACGUUAAUCUUUCUCUCCCCUUUUAGUAUAUGUAAUUUAUAGGAAUUUGUACAAAUCGGUUUGUAAUUCUUAUUACUUCUUAAUCUCUAUUCGUUAGUGGAUUCCCUCUAGUGCUAGACUAGAGUUUCUUUAACUAUUGGUAAAGGAGACAUAACUAAAAGAGGGUUUUGACAUGAGAUUAAAGAUUAAAAGGGUCCAAUGCCCAAAUUAGCUUUGAAUGAUUGUCUUUCAUUUCUAAUGACUCAAUGAAAAUGGUUUUAAUUGGAUUGAUAAGCACGUAAUUAAAUUGACACAACCUCCCCGAGUUUAUAUUCAACAAUGAUGGCUCGUUGUUGCAAUAACCUAAUAAGUCCAUGGUCAUCUAAGAGCCUAAGAUAACUAUAAAGUCCAAUUUCAAAGGAAUGCAAAAACCUUAGUAGUAGUAGUUACUUCCAAUAUUUGAAAAAUUCGUUUUUGAUAUUGAUUUGUUUUUUUUCUCAAAACAAAUAGUGGGAGUAUCAUACGCUACUAAACUAUAAUGAAUACAAUUAGUAGUUAUAUAUAUCUCCAAUAUUUUGAAAAAUGUUUUGAUAUUGAUUUGUUUUAUGAAAACGAAUAGUGGGGAUAUUAUAUGCUACUAAUUUCAUUAACUUUGGACUAGUAGUUGUAAUAGGACAUUAUUUAUUUGAUUGUGAUUAAAUAAAUAAAAUUGAUGAGACCUUAAAAUCCCUCAACCAAACAAAUAUUAAGUUGAAAGCGUAAGAGUGCUUAGAACACUUUUUCGUGGCCUUCCACCGUGGUAGGCUCCAAGCGUUUAUGACUUGUACACCGCCUUCACCCUAUCAUGGGGAAGUGACAAAGUGCAUGCUUAUAUUCAGGAGGAGUUUAUUUAAAACAUUUGAUGAGGUUAAGGUAGGCAACGAGUAUGGCCAACAUCAUAUCAUCGUGAGGUCAUGCUUGAACCCCUAGCUAAACCGGCAUGGUGGGAAAGAACUUAACUAAGAAACAUAAUGCCAACAUCGUAUCAUCGUGAGGUAUUGUUGUGAAUGGGUAAUUGUACCCUCUCAUUAUUAUUGUUGCUAGCCGACAUCGUAUCAUCGUGAAGUGGGCUUGGUAAUAAUGAGCCUCCCAUAACCCGCUAGGAGCUUUCUUUGAAAUCUCCCGGAUUCCAUUAUGAGGGAUAUGGAAUUUGCCAAAAAUGGUGGGUGGUGUCAUUCGGUUUAAAGACCCGAAUCGUUUGACUUAAACAACAAUCGAUCUAAUUAUUUUAUUUGUUUAUGUAUAUAGAUAUGGUUGGAAGCACACUCGCGAAAAUACUCGACAAACAUUGCCUAGAGGGGCACAAUUUCCCAUCAUGGUAUCGUAAUGUCAAGAUUCUCCUAACAUUGGAGAAGAUUGUUUACGUACUAGAUAAGCCUCCACCUCACAUACCUCUCAGCCCUGAGGCUACUGAGGAUGAACGUGCUAAGUAUGACAAGCACGUUGAGGAUGAUAUACAAGCCAAGUGCUAUCUGUUGGCUUCCAUGAAUGAGGAGCUACAGAGACAGCACGAGGGCAUGGAUAGUGCAUUUUCCAUAAUACUCCAUCUUACGGAGUUAUAUGGUGAAGGGACGCGCAACCGUCGCUUUAGCACUGUUUGUGAACUUGUAAAGACCAAGAUGGUCAAGGGGGCUCCAGUACACCAACAUGUACUGAAGAUGAUAGGAUUCAUUGAACAAUCGAAGAACCUUGGUACUCCACUUGACAGGGAAUUGGCCCAAGACUUUGUAUUGGCUUCUCUUUCUGAUUCAUUUGCUCAGUUUGUAAUGAACUACAAUAUGAAUAAGAUGGAUAGUACUCUCUCUGAGUUACUAAACAUGUUAGUAACUGCUGAGAAAACUAUGAAGAAAGAGAGCGGUGUAGGGACUGCUGCAGUAGCCUACAACAAGCCAUCCUCUUCCAAGGCCAUGCCGCAAGGAAAAGGCAAAGGGAAGGAGAAGAAGUCACCCACUCCUAAGCCGAAAGAAGGAGUGAGGAAAAAGAAGGCAAAGGAGCCCAAAGGGACUUGCUACCACUGUGGAAAGGAGGGGCAUUGGAGAAGGAAUUGCAAGUUAUACCUUACAAGUCUUAAGGACAAGCCACAAGGUAUGGUUUAUGUCCUUAUCUUCAAUUCUAAAUGUUAGAUCUUCUAAAUAUUUAUAUUUGAUAUAAAGAGCUAAUCACUUGUAUAAUUGUAUAUAGGUGGAGAAGCCAAGUAGAAGAAGAACAAGCAAAGAAAUGUGGUGAAGGGUUCGGCCACUAUGUUUUUUGCUCACUACUUAGGAAGUUUGUUAGGCAUUAAAGAUUGUCUUUAAACUUUCUUAUUUUGAUAAGAACUUAUUAUGUGGCUUCAUGUGAUGGAAGACCACUAUAUAGUGCCUAAAUGUAUAAAGGUAUUUAUAUUAGUCUCUAAAUGUAUAGAGCUAAUACUUUUUGUAUUAAACAUUAUGAAUUUUUGAACUAUCAUAUUAAUGUAAUGUGAAGUAUGACUUUUUAAUAUACUAUUUCCUUAAAGUAGUGUUAUGAAUUGAAAAUUGUCUUGUUGUAUCCUAGAUGAGAUACAAGAGUUAUAUCACUUAAUUGUAAUGUGAUAAACCAAACUUUAGAUUUAUCAAUUAUGGAUAGAUCUCACAUGUAGGACAUAAAAGGAUACAAUGAAUCUUUAGAUUUGGUUCCAUUUGUCUACUUAUGAGUUCUAUAUGAAUUGACAAAAGUCUAGAGAAUCCUUUCUUGAAGAAAAGGAAGAUCACAUUAUAAUGAUAUAAGUAAUAAGAAAACGUUUCUUAUAUGGUUAUCACUUGAAACACAAUGAUCAAGAUCACUCUUGAUUCAAUUUGUAGUUUUGAACAAUUAAUUGGGCAUUCUUAAAAUUGUUUUAAAAAUGUCAAAUGUGUUAGUGAUUAAACCAAGAAAGAAGUGUCUAAAUCUAUAAAAGGUUUAAAGACUUUAGUCACUUAAAUAACAAGACAUUAAACUUAGUGAAGAUUGAAACAAAUAAGCUUGAAAUGUUUCAAAGCUACUACACAAUGUCUUCUACCAAUAUAAUCCACUUUUAUACAUUUUGAAUGUAUGAAAUGAUUUCUCAUUAAAGUCAUGAGAAAUAGUGGGAGGUGUGAAAAUGGAUAUAAACUUGAAUGUGAUUGGUUUAUAGUUGUCUAAAGAAUAAUAGUACUUGACUAUUAUUAAGAGUUUGUAAUUUUAAUUGUUAAAAGGACUCAAGCUCUUCAAACGUUAAAAUUCUAUGUUGUGUAACAUUUAAAGAAUAGUCUUUGAAUGUUGGUUUCGUCAACCUAGCAUAAAAUGGUUAUAUGUUGGGAGUUGUGCAUCAUUCUCUUUUAUGAGAACAUGCUAAUAACAAAGCAUAUGGACAAGUUGAUGAAACAAAAGGGAAUAAGUUUCAAAAUGAGUCACAACAUAUGGUUUAACAACAAGACAAUCCAAAUUCAACAUCUCAUGUAACGAUAUUGCUCUAUGUAGUUUUGAUAAAGAAUUAUAUCAACCACCUAGAAGGAAUGGUUGAGUUUCUAUAUCCUUAGUAGGAGCCAUGCUUCCACUAAAGACUUAGAUAAUUCUUAUAUGACUACGUUAAAGGUCUUAGUAUGACUAAAACUUGAAGUAUGGUGUAUGACACCAUAUAAUUUAAAUGAAUAGAUUUGAUAAAGCAAGUCACACAUUUCAUGGAAUUGCUUGAGAAGGAAUUCUUUUAUGUAUGAUUCAUUUAAAAUUAGUGGGAGCAAUAUGCAUUCAAUUCAAGAAAAUAUAAUUGUUAAUUUUGAAUGAAUGCUAAGUUACAACAAGGCCAGUGGGAGUGAUGUCAUAAUUUGAGCAACAAGAUGUGAAUAGAGUCUAUUUGAUAGACUUGAUGAAACAUAGAUGUUACUCGAAAAAUGACAAAACAUGACACGGUCAAUUUUGAAGUAUAGACUUGAAAUUGGACUUACUGAUAUAGCAAGGCUAUCUCAAUAAUGUUAUAUGGGAAUUAAAUCUCAAAUGUUGAAGAUUUAAGAAAGCAUUUUCCUAUGUGAUAGGAAAUCACUUUCAUAACCCUUAUAAUGAAUGUGUCAUAAAAUCAUAAAAGGGACACAUGUAUUGACUUGUGAAGUAGAUAUCCAAAGGUGAAGAAACCACUGAGUUUAUCACUUUAAGAUAUUACUAUAUCCCAGGAUCAGAACCAAAGCAACUGAUAGAGUAUUAUUGCCUUUAAGAAAGAAACAUCAGAGUGGGACUCUGGAAGCGUGCAUUCACUUCGGUUGUUAACCAAAGUGAAAAUAAACCAUUUUAACAAAUGGAACUUCAUAAUGGAUGAAGUACUAAUCAUAUGAAUUGUUAGUAUUGUACUGCAAUGGUCUCAAGGUUGGAGCAAAGCUUGUAUAAAGUAUACAAACGAAAUAUAUGUCGAUAUAUAGUUUUAAAAACUGCUUGAAAAGGUGUUUUGAAUGGAAGGGGUUCUUUUAGAACCAAUGAUUGAAUCCAAACCAUAAGGUCGUUAGUAGAGUACUACGACGUAAUGGGGCGAUAGCUCAAGCCAUGGAAUCAAGGUCUCAUCAAAGUAUUCGAACACAAUAAAGAGACAUCAUCAAAUGUUCUGGAAACAUUUGAUAAGAAAAUCCCUUUUAAAUAUAAAAGAGAUUAAUACAUAACCAAGUUAACCUACGAGCAUAAACUCUCUCGACAAGAUGUAUAAGAUACACUAAUGAUUGACUUUAGUGCAAGUGGGAGAUGUUGGAAAUAUGCCCUGAAAGUCAAUCUUUGGAGAAACCUUUCAGGACAAAUGAAUCGAUGUAUGGAUGAUUCUUAUACAUCAAAUGGCAAAGACACGAAUUAGGACUAUCUCAAUAAACGAUAUAUGUCCUAAAUAGUGUAUCCAUGGACAAUGGAUCGAUUGAAGAAGUAAUCUAAUGAUGUUAGACUACAGAGACCUUCUUCACAUAACCAAAUGUCCAAAAAGGUUCCUGGUCGUUGGAUUGUCGGAGGGAUACUGACAAUGCGUAGACCGGUACAUACUGUGUCUGCUUCAAUUGGAAGGAUGGAAAGUCUCAUCCCAUUUGUGUUGUGACACUAAGACAAGUAUGUAGGUGCUCAUUAGGGGAAUGAGUUCACUGAACACAAUCGAACGAGAGUACUUGCAUGGAGGUCUACUCACAUGUCAAGCAAGUAACUCUAAUGGUUGGAAAGAUGUAAGUAAUCCUUAGACCUGAGGCAUCGUCGUUGUCUUGUGGUUAAGUACUUAAUCUUUGAUUAUGUCAAAGUCUCCCCAUUCGAGGGUGUCCACGGCAUAAUUGGGGUUAAGCCACUUAGUCAUGAAGGCAAGUGUAUGCGCAACAAGGAAUCUCUAAUCCUCGAUAAGAGAGGAAGAAUACUCUAAGCUAUGAUUCGGGAAUCUUCGGCCGGAGUAUCAAGCGUAAUAAAGGAAAGCGUUCCUAUACGACUCAAUUGAAUCAUAUAAGAAGGAAUAAUCACAUUAGGGGUUUGACAUAAUAUAUCCAUACCUUAAUGAUGUGAUUGAGAGUAUUGUAUUAGAGAAGGAUCGAAUUACAUUGUAAUUCCAACUGAAUAGGUUCUCCGAAUAAACUUCUACAUUAGCUUGGGUAGCUAUGACAUAUGGUUAGAUGUCACUCAUAGCUUGUGAGUUCUUCUAGAUGAUUAAAUGUAGUCAUCAAAGAAGAAAGGUGAAUUGAAAUGAAGUUUCAAUUCACUAAGUGAUUGAAUUAAAUUGGAUUGGUGCCAAUCACCUCACUGCCUUGCUAAUUAGAACCUAAAAAGAUUGUUCACCAAUACACUAUUGUAGUGAGUAACUAAUGGAUGAUGGAAAUAAUUAAUUGGAUUAAUUAAUUGUUGUGAUUAAUUUAGAAAGUCUAAAGAAAUCAUAAAAAAGCGAUAAAGAUCGUUUUGGGCUUAAGAAACGUUCGGGUUUAAUUGGGCCGAUUGGACCUAAACCCAUUGGGCUUUUAUUCAAGCAUUGGAUGACUUGAAAUAAUAAAAGCCCAAAGCCCAAACAAACAACAAAAGAGGCCGGCCACUUUAAGGUGGAAAGGGUGAGAUAUUUAGUCAAGUGUUGACUAGGUUUCUUUUGUCUAUAUAAGGAA
rnacentral:lncRNA from 1 species